AUGUACACUUUAAGUACAGGCUGUGAGCAUGCAUGGCAUGCCCCUGCCAUCCCCAGACACCAACAAGCUGCUAAGCCAAUGAAUCUGGAAUAUGAAAUGCAGAGGUCACAAACUGAACCUGCAGAUUCCUUUUUGUGCACUGCUCCUCUGGUUGGUGUGGCUACUGCAGGAUGGCUAUCUGCUCCAGUUGUCUCUAUUGCUUUGAAAGCCUCUCAGCCCUGCAGAUACACCUGAUAUUUGCCCUGUAGAGAGUCCUCCCAUGGACAUGAACCAGGAGGGUGACCAGGACUUCAACCUCGACCAAGCAAAAAGUGCACCACUGAGAAAGCACAGUCAGUGCCCUGCACAUACAAUUUACAGCGCGCAAGCAAGUCUGGGACCCUGAAAAGUUGCAGUACCCAGGAGGAUCGAAAGCACACAAAGGGCUAAACACGCUCAUGGUGCGAGAAGCAUACAAAACUAAAUUUAGGAAGAGAGGCAAAUACAGUGGGACAGAGUCGGCCGAAAGACUGGAUGAACUUGUACGAAAGAAAAUCAAAUAUCUCGACCCAGAAUGCCAUCUUUGCAAAAUAUGGAGAUGUUGAAAGCCAAAUUGUUUUGUAAUGUUUUUUUUUAUUAAGUAAUUGCCUAUUGUAAUUGCAGACUUAAAAGUAGUUUAAGUGAUUGUAUUAUUUUUUUAUUGCUCAUUCAUUUGUUAGUUUAGUAUUAAACUGUAAGUAUAAAAGUCAUAGUGUACACUUAAAUGUGUUUUUUGAGCUGUAAGUAAAACAAUUUGACUACUGUGAUGAAGCAUCAAUGCUCGGGUUAAUAUUGUCAAUUUUUAUUAAAAAUGUGCAUUGUGUGUUGAAAAGGGCUCAACAUACCUUUACUGUUAAAAAUCAUCCAAGGCCAAUGCUGACGUGGAUUUGACUGAUCUAUAUCUAUAACCAUAUACAUACAUUUGAAUGGAGUAAACAUCAGCCCCUUGCCCACCUUUUUAGCCUUUUACAAAAUUAUGCUGUGGGUGAGUUUGGGUCAGAGCUGGGGUUGUACUUAAACUUUAAACAUUUAUACAGUUUUGCUUAGAUUUGUUUCUUUUAGUUCAUAUUCUAUACAUAUAAUUGACUAAAUAGCAGAGUAUGCUA
rnacentral:lncRNA from 1 species